rnacentral:rRNA from 1 species
GAUGAACGCUGGCGGUAUGCCUAACACAUGCAAGUCGAACGGAACCUUCGGGUUUAGUGGCGGACGGGUGAGUAACGCGUGAGAAUCUGCCUUCAGGAUGGGGACAACAGUUGGAAACGACUGCUAAUACCCGAUAUGGCGCAAGCUGAAAGAUUUAUCGCCUGGAGAUGAGCUCGCGUCAGAUUAGCUAGUUGGUGUGGUAAAGGCGCACCAAGGCGACGAUCUGUAGCUGGUCUGAGAGGAUGAGCAGCCACACUGGGACUGAGACACGGCCCAGACUCCUACGGGAGGCAGCAGUGGGGAAUUUUCCGCAAUGGGCGCAAGCCUGACGGAGCAAUACCGCGUGAGGGAGGAAGGCUCUUGGGUCGUAAACCUCUUUUCUCAGGGAAGAACACAAUGACGGUACCUGAGGAAUAAGCAUCGGCUAACUCUGUGCCAGCAGCCGCGGUAAUACAGAGGAUGCAAGCGUUAUCCGGAAUGAUUGGGCGUAAAGCGUCCGUAGGUGGUUUUGUAAGUCUGUGGUUAAAGCGUGGAGCUUAACUCCAUAACGGCCAUGGAAACUACAAGACUAGAGUUAAGUAGGGGUAGAGGGAAUUCCCAGUGUAGCGGUGAAAUGCGUAGAGAUUGGGAAGAACACCGGUGGCGAAAGCGCUCUACUGGACUUAUACUGACACUGAGGGACGAAAGCUAGGGGAGCGAAAGGGAUUAGAUACCCCUGUAGUCCUAGCCGUAAACGAUGGAUACUAGGUGUUGCCCGUAUCGACCCGGGCAGUGCCGUAGCUAACGCGUUAAGUAUCCCGCCUGGGGAGUACGCACGCAAGUGUGAAACUCAAAGGAAUUGACGGGGGCCCGCACAAGCGGUGGAGUAUGUGGUUUAAUUCGAUGCAACGCGAAGAACCUUACCAGGGCUUGACAUGUCUGGAAUCUCGGCGAAAGUUGAGAGUGCCUUCGGGAACCAGAACACAGGUGGUGCAUGGCUGUCGUCAGCUCGUGUCGUGAGAUGUUGGGUUAAGUCCCGCAACAAGCGCAACCCUUGUUUUUAGUUGCCAUCAUUAAGUUGGGCACUCUAGAAAGACUGCCGGUGACAAACCGGAGGAAGGUGGGGAUGACGUCAAGUCAGCAUGCCCCUUACGCCCUGGGCUACACACGUACUACAAUGCUAUGGACAAAGGGCAGCCAACCAGCGAUGGUGAGCUAAUCCCAUAAACCAUGGCUCAGUUCAGAUCGCAGGCUGCAACUCGCCUGCGUGAAGGCGGAAUCGCUAGUAAUCGCCGGUCAGCAUACGGCGGUGAAUCCGUUCCCGGGCCUUGUACACACCGCCCGUCACACCAUGGGAGUUGGUCACGCCCGAAGUCGUUACUCUAACCGCAAGGAAGAGGACGCCGAAGGUAGGGCUGAUGACUGGGGUG